rnacentral:lncRNA from 1 species
CUGAGAGAUGCGGCAGAGGGGUGUCUCUUCUCAGGGAAAAACGAAGAGGGCUUGAGAGCAUGGCCAUGGCGGGAGGGGGCAAUCAGGUAAUUCGGCUGGGGAGCUGCCAGCGCUGGAGUACUCUCCAUUUGAGCUUCUGCGCGACUUCUGGUUCAGAGCAGAAGGGAGAAUAUAGAGUUGAGGUCUUUGUGGCUGCUCGGUUUCCAGAUCCUAUUUAACCUAGACGAUGGCAGCGUAGGACUUGACAUAAAUUCUAGACCUGCUAAUUUAAUUGGAAAAAAAAAAGAAGGAUUCUCCGGAAAAGUCCAAGUCAAAAUAUAGCACCUAAUAUAGUAAAUACGAUUUUUCUUAAGAAGUGUUUGACGAGAUUUAAUUACCAAAUUAAAUUAGAAAAAGGAUUUUGUUAAUGACUGGCUAAUUAAUAUUUGAAAAAAAAGUUCUUUCUUAAUAUUGUACUUAACACAUUACACAAAUUUAACUUGAUAAACCCACCAAGAAUUUUCGUGCUUAAGUGGCGGACUCACUUUGCCGGACCCACCAGACAAAUCCCACAUAAAGUUUUUUGUCUUUUUGUGGCUUUUGAAACCAACAAAAUAAUAUUAAAAAAAUUAGAGUGGAGUGGACAUGCAAUUUGCUCGUGCAAAUCAAGUAAGAGAGGCUGUGAGGACUGUCGACGAACGCAAAGACAUUUCCAAGGGUAUCUCUAGAUUCUCUCUUUACUUAAAUUAGACGUGGAAAGCUCGUUAUUUGCUUUUCAAAUAAAAAGAACCUUUUUAUUUUAAAAAGGGAAAUUAAGAAAGUAUUUGCGUAUCGGAACAACCAAAAUCAACCUAGAGGAUUUGAAAAAGAAAUUUACUUUUCUUUUUCCGUUUUGCUAUUAAGAGGUGUUCGGAUUGAUUUUCAUGCAUCUUGAUUAGUCUAACUCCCUAGGCAAUCUUAGUAGGGUACUCUUCCCACAUCGAUAUAGUGCUUUCGAAUUUUUGAUCACAAAGUGUUUUGAACAAAAUUUGAAUUCAAAAUUAUAAGGAGAAGAGUAAAUGACAAUUAUCUAAAAUAGGUCAUUUUAAUAAUUACCUAGAUUGAUCUUUCCAUAAGCUAUAUAAUAAAAUAGACUUCUUAUUGCUACGUUUGGAGAUUACCCAUAUGUCACGAUUUGAGUCGAUUGGCCUCAGUCAUGGGCCCAUGUGGCGCUAGGCCAGCCAAUGCACCAGGCCAACUUUCAUCUUCAACAGUCGUUCACGCGGCCUGUAUCGUAAAGUGACUCAUUGUGACUAACCAUUCCAAAACUCUGAACAAAUUGGACAUCUCAUUAUCCCAAGUAGGAUAUGCAUCUGAAUCCAACGUAAUAACUAGUUUUGGCCUAAAAUGGCCACCAUCAGAUAAGAGGCAUCAAUUCUCGACUAGUUUGUGCACACUGACCAAUCUUAUCAGCAAAACUCCCUAAAUAUUGAAGUAGACUUCAAUUGUACUAAAGUUACCAAUAAAGAAAUACAAACAAGCAUCUUUUCUUUUGACAAUAAAUAUUAUCAACAAUCUAAUUUCAAGGACACCUAUUUAUAAAAUUAACUGAGCCAUUUCAAGUGACAUACAAAGCAAUAAAAAUAAAACGAGAUAAAAGUAAGUUUGGAUUUGUUACAGAACAUAUCAAAGAUAACUUAGGGCAUGUUUGGCAAAUUUUAUUUAUGUUCCUCGGAACAAUUAUUUUUGUUCUUUUGUUUAGGGGAACGAAAAAAGAAUAGAAACUUGUUUAGUAAAAUUUUUGUUCCCGAGAAUAAAAGAUCUAUUUUUUUGUUCUUGGGAACAGAUUUGGAACAAAAAGAAAGAGUAGAAAAAGUAGUUUCUUGUUUUUGGGAACAAUUUCUAUAAUCUAUUUUUUUUUCUCCUCUCUUUUUCUCUUUUCUUCUUCUCUUUCAUUUCUUCUUCUUCUUCCUUUUGGCUUGUCGGCGGCCAUCCUCGUGGCCGGCGACCGGCAAAAGAGAAAAAAAAAAAAAAUAUAUAUAUAUAUAUAUAUAUAUAUAUAUAAUAAAAGAAUUAACAAAUUAAAAGAAAUAAAAAAACUAAGAAUCCUACCAAACAUAUUUUUAUCCUAGGAAUAGAAAUUUUGGGAAGUUACCAAACGUGUUCUUUUGCUCAGAAAUUAUUCCCGAGAAUAAAAUAAAAAAAUCAUUUCUCAUCAAAAAUUAUUUUCCGGAACAGAAUCGUUACCAAACGCACCCUUAAUCUCUUACAAGACCAUUCAAUCUAUGAAAAGGAAAUCAAUGUCCUAAUAAGAGACAUAGAAAAACAAAUCGGGUACUUGAAAGAAGAUAUAUUAUAUUAGGCUACGUUUAGUAGUCAAGAUAAACCAUGUAUUUGAUACUUACUUGAAAUAAGAUAAAGAUGAAUAUGAUUGAUAAUAAGAUGUGUUUUUUUCACUCAUUUUUUGACUUAGACGUUGACCAUACGACUCCUUUUGUCACCCACCACUUCAAUUAUAAUUCUAUAGAAGUGGUCCACAUUUUUGUUUCGUCAAAUGUGAUGAAACUCUUUUUAUUUUGUCUUCUUUUUUUCUUUCCUUGCGGUCCCCUUCUUUCUAUUCUCUCUUCUCUUGCAAAAUCCACAUUCAACAUAAUUCUUUCGCAAUUCAAGCAAUUUUCGCGACCCACGAUGUUAUAUUGCUUCCUAAGUCUUUCUUGCAGGCAAGUCUCUUUUUUCCUUGCCUAUGAGGUGUAUGUCUCGUCUCUUGCAAUGACAUUGUCAUCUCUUUAAUUUCUUUCUUUAAAGUGAUCCUCUUCUUUCCACUCAUAGUCGCGCGGCAUUGAAAAGGUCAAUAUUUAGGCCAUCCCAGCCGUCCUACCCACCUUUGCUCGCAUAGGUAUCAGGUUAACAACUUAACUGUCGGCCUCCCUAACAAGCCCUAUUUCAUUACCGCAUGCAACCCCUCCUUGUACUGUGAAAGGUAAUAUUGAAAAGCACCGUCUCUUUCUCCUCUCAUUUCAAGAUUUUUCUCCGUAUAACUAUUCAAAAAGUCCAACGUUGAUCGAUUUAAUCAUAAAACUUUUAGUUAUACCAAUUUAAUUUUAAAUCUUUUAAAAACUUCUCAAUUUAAUUUGUUUGCCAAUUUUGACCGAAAAAUGUUGACAUGGACUCUGAUUGGCUAUUGAGCAUUUUACGUGGCAUGAUUAGUGUUGACGUGAAUAGUUUUUACGUAUUUUCAUAAUUUUUUAUGAAUUCUUUUUUUUUCCUGAUUACUGGCCACAAGCGAAGGCCGGCAAAAAAAACAAAGGAAAAAAGGGAAAAUUUAGAAAAGCAUUAUAAAAAAGGCAAGAAUUAUUCGCAUUAGUGCCGACCACACCGUGUAAGAUAGCCGAUGGCUAGCUGGAAUCCAUGUAAAUUAUCUAAUCAAAAUUCACAAAAAUUACUAAAUUGACAAAUCAUCAAAAGAUUUAGGACUAAAUUAAUAUAAUUGAAACUGAGACAAUAAGUUUGGACUUCUUGGCUGAUUUUUCUCUCAUCUUUCCUGAUUUGGCCUUUUGCCAGAUUAUUUCAAUCCAUUUUUUGUUUGGAUUUUUAAUAGCAAGUUGCAAUGCAGUGAUUAAUAUAGGAGAUAUUUGUAGUGGUAUAAUGUGGAAUGCUUUAAAGUCAACUGAAGCAUUGACAUUAUCUCCCUACAUAUAGGAGCAAGCGAUCCAUAUGUGAGUGUAGAUAAAUAAAAGGCGUCUCCUCCAUGUGUAGUGUAGGCAUAAAAGUCAAGUAAUAAAACAUUUCUAGAACAUCAGACGACUCGUGCGCUUUUAGAUAAUACGAAGAUGAAUUUGAAUGAGUAGAUUAGUUUGAUUAUGGUUUUCAAUGCGGUGUCUGAGUGUUGGAAUGAGAAUUUGGCCUUUAACAAAUUAAUUUCUCGGAGCACCGCUGCUAUAAUGCUGCAUUUGUUCUUUCAUAUGGGCCGUACCUUUAGGCCAUAAACUGCAGUUGUGUGUAGAGUUGAACUUAAUGUUAGUUUUUUAACAAUCAUCUCGCAAUCACAUAUAUUAUGUUAUUCUGAGUAGGCGUGGAGAGUUUGCUCUUAUAGUACUAAUCAAAGAGUACUUAUUUCACUUGGGCAUCCGCUUGAUUCUCAACGGGUAAUAUUCAAGAGGACUCAAAUUGCUAAAAUGUAUUUAUUGAGGAUGAAAAUGCAAAUAGAUGGGGCAAUCCAUCGGGCUAACAAGUUCAUUUGAAACUUUACCCAAUAAUUUUCUAACUCGUGAUCUUUUAAGUAGUGUCCAAAGUCAUCUUCUUGCUCAAGGUUAUAACAUUUCCAUUAAAAUGUCAAAAGAGAGACAAAUAAGUUCUUCUUUAUCACACUAGGAGCACGUCAAAAAAGAAAAACAUACAGUUAUAUCAUCCCAUUUUAAGUCGACCUAGCAUGUUGAAAUUAAUUUAGACUUUAAUGUCAAACACAUUAUACACAUAAGAGUACGCUCUCAAACAUAUUUUCUCGUGUCAAAUAACUCAUUUAUAUAUAAAUGGCAUUUGGAUUCCCAAACUAUGACACCAUUAAUACUAUCUCGUUUGUCAAUUAAUUUGACUCUAUCAUGACAAUAUAAUAGUUUUAUUACAUUAUAACAUACAAUGAACUUCCCGAUUCAGAAAAAAAUGACAAGAUAUUUUGGAUACUUCACCUCUAAUUUUAGUAUCAAAGCGAAUUAAAUAGUAACUACUCCGUUCACUAAAUCACAUAAUAAAUACCUAUUCUCAUAUGUUGUAGUUCUACUAGAGCCUUCACGACAAAUACAUCAUAACUUUCAUGGCAUCAUUGCCACUAAACGUGACAUUAGUUUCGGCUGGGGAGCUGCCAGCUAUUAUACCAGUAACAAUGAAAACAGAACUGACCGUGAGAGAUGCGGCAGAGGGGUGUCUCUUCUCAGGGGAAAACGAAGAGGGCUUGAAAGCAUGGCCAUGGCGAGAGGGGCCAAUCAGGUAAUUCGGCUGGGGAGCUGCCAGCGCUGGAGUACUCUCCAUUUGAGCUUCUGCGCGACUUCUGGUUCAGAGAGACAGAGAGCAGAAGGGAGAAUAUAGAGUUGAGGUCUUUGUGG